GAUGAACGCUGACAGAAUGCUUAACACAUGCAAGUCUUUGGCGAAGCUGUGCUUGCACAGCCUAGCCAAGGCGGACGGGUGAGUAACGCGUAAGGAACUUGCCCUGCAGUCAGGGAUAACAGACGGAAACGACUGAUAAGACCUGGUAAAGUCAGGCGGACUCAUGUCCAGCCUGAUGAAAAGAGAUGCUGCAGGAGAGCCUUGCGUCCUAUUAGCUUGUUGUUGGGGUAACGGCCCACCAAGGCGAUGAUAGGUAGCCGGCCUGAGAGGGUGGACGGCCACAAGGGGACUGAGAUACGGCCCUUACUCCUACGGGAGGCAGCAGUGGGGAAUAUUGGACAAUGGGGGCAACCCUGAUCCAGCAAUUCUGUGUGCACGAUGAAGGUUUUCGGAUUGUAAAGUGCUUUCAGCAGGGAAGAAAAAAAUGACGGUACCUGCAGAAGAAGCGACGGCUAAAUACGUG
rnacentral:rRNA from 1 species